CCUACGGGUGGCAGCAGUGAGGAAUAUUGGUCAAUGGGCUUACGCCUGAACCAGCCAAGUCGCGUGAGGGAAGACUGCCCUAUGGGUUGUAAACCUCUUUAGGCGGGGAGCAAUGCCGGGCACGCGUGCCCGGAGGGAGAGUACCCGCAGAAUAAGCAUCGGCUAACUCCGUGCCAGCAGCCGCGGUAAUACGGAGGAUGCGAGCGUUAUCCGGAUUUAUUGGGUUUAAAGGGUGCGUAGGCGGAUUUUUAAGUCAGCGGUAAAAUGUCCGGGCUCAACCCGGGCCGGCCGUUGAAACUGGGGAUCUUGAGUGGGCGAGAAGUAUGCGGAAUGCGUGGUGUAGCGGUGAAAUGCAUAGAUAUCACGCAGAACUCCGAUUGCGAAGGCAGCAUACCGGCGCUCAACUGACGCUCAUGCACGAAAGUGUGGGUAUCGAACAGGAUUAGAUACCCCAGUAGUC
rnacentral:rRNA from 1 species